AGCCUGAACACGUGUUCUAUGUGUCCAGCAGUGCUGCCCACAGGAAGACUGAAGAAGGAUGUAGGGCGUCUUUACCUUGGGGUUGGGGGGGGGGAUGAUGAACAAGCCAAGUGUGUGGAGGGCCCAGCACACAGAGAGCGCCCCCAGAUGCCAGCUGUUAGUAUUGGAUUAGACUCACCAUUGCCAGAGCCCAGCUUCAGCCCUGGGCUGCUCAGCCCAGAGCUAGGACUGGCGCCUCUGUGGGGAGUGGGGAGGCUUGGCGGUCAGGCAGGGUGGUUACACCCUGGCUAAGUCGGGGAAACUCUUAGCUACUUGAAAAGGGUGUGAAUAACUCGUGAGGCUGUGUCUCAUACCUCACCUCAUUUUUGGUGGGGGGUCAGUGAAGCAGAUGCUGUCACCCCCGCAUUAGGACCCAGAUGAUGGAGUCCAAGAGGCCAAGAGCCUUCUCUAAGCCCACACACUUCAUGAGUGGAGGCCCCACCUGAGCCAGCCGACCAUAGCCCCAGGGCCCUUAUAAAGGAGAGAAAUGUGACUGGGCUAGCUCAGCUCUGUGGGGGCCUUUCAGCUUCAUAGUUAUAUGAUUCUAUCUCCACGUUCCAUCCCUGACAGAUGUCACAGACCACAUUGCCUCUGUGGCACAUCCCAGGGUCCUCAGCAUCCUAGGAAAGGACUUUUGGAGAGGGCAGAGCACAGAGCAGGAAGGUGCUGACCAGCACGGGGGGGCUUCUCUGCACCUGGAUGCUGCACUGGGCACCACACGAUCCCAUGCUCACGAACAUUCCAGGCCAAGGAAGAGGAGGCAUUAUUCUGCACUGGCAGAAGAGGGGACUGAGGUUCACAGUGGUCCCAUGGAAUCCAAAGAUGUAUAUGGGGGGAUGCCGGGAGUAGGUAAGUCAGAGGGGCAGUGUUUCAAGGAAGGGGGCCUCCCAGGACAUCCCUUAACCCACCAUCUGCACAAGGUACCUUGGACACACCAGUGGCCCCUGGGUCCUCGGCUCAGGUCCUCCUAUGCUGGGAUCUGUCUUCUCAGCCAGGACCCCCUCCCCCCAGGCCUGUGGCUCCUGGCAGAGGGCGAGAUGCUUCCUGGCUCAUCCAGAUUUGACGCGGAUGCUGUCAUGUCCAUCUCGGUGUUUACACCAUCGCCUCCGAGAGCCCUGAGCCUCCAACACAGGCCCCCAUCAGCAGGGAGCAAGGAGAGAUCCGGAUGCCUGAGCAGCUGCUGGCCCCAGGCUGACCCCCGUGACCCCAGAGUUAUCGCAGGGACUUAGUGCUGUGGUGGGCCCAGGACCACCAACGAUGCAGCCAGGACAAGGGUGGGGGUGGAGCAAAGAGGGAGGCUCCCCGAGGCCCUUGGACCAGUCCACACGGUGUUUAGUAAGUGCUCGCUGUUUGCCUGGACAGUAAUGCAACACUGGCUAGCAUCUCCUGAGCAUGUUGCAGGCACUGCCUCACUGACCCUCACCACGGCCCUGGAGGUAGGCAUGGGUGUUACCCAGACUCUGUGCCUGAGGAAACCGCGGCAGCAGAGAGGGGGUAAAUGCCUCACCCUGGGACACUCCGCAUCCAAAAAUGACAACACUGGGAUUGUUCUUGAGACCCACCCCUGCUCCUCCCUACCCUCCCGCCUCACUCUGCGUCUCUGGACCAAAGCCUACUUGAAUUCCCACCAAGCCUUUGCAUCACUGUCUGUGGUCAGCAAUCCCUGUGGGACAUAAGAAACUGGAGAGAUGAGGGAGGGAGGAGGGGGAGGGUCUCAGUGUCAGUGGGUAGAUGACCCAGCACUGGUCCCACCCCAGGCCCACCCCAGGGGACACCACCUUCGAAACAUGGCUUGUUAACUUAGGGCUCACCCAGCCACAGGGAAGGGAAGGGACUUAUCCAAGACCCUGUGUUUGUCACCUCCCCUGGGUGGGUGGCGGAAGUAGCGGGUAAAAUUUCUAUGGGGUCCCAGCCUUUCGCCAGUAAGGUUGAUCACAGCUGCAAUGAAACUCAAGGGACAAAUCUUGGAAUCCUCGAGCCAGAGAGAGGUCAUUUCCUCCAACCCUUGUCUGUAGACAUUUUUAAAAAGAUUUUUUCCAAGUGCUAUUAGGUUGAGCCAUACGAAAUUGCUAAUUUCAAUUAUUUUUGUCCAACAAAAAUGACAGUUUUAUAUGGACCCUCUAAUACUUGAGAGAGACCCCAGAGAAUUUUCUCAAAAGACCUAGACUGUAACUCCGAUAACCCUGCUUUACUCAGAGUCCUUUCUCAUCCAUCCGCCUGUUCUCAGCACAGUUUAUCCAGAGCCAUUUUUGUUGCUAGCAGCUGGGUCUCAGACCUGCCAACGUCACCAGCUGGGGAAUAGUCAAAGGGCAUUGAGCUGGAAGUCUACAGCCAUGUGAAUUUGAACAAUUCAUCUACCUUCCUUGGGCCUCAGUUUCCUCAUCUGUGCAGGGUUUUUACCAUCAGACAAAAGGAUACCUGAGAAGUACUGAGCUCCAAGCACCCAGUCAGGGCUUGUGCAGUGUGUGCUGGGUGAAUCCGAGUCACCAAGAUCCAUGUUCAGCUCAGAAAGAGUCCCCCACUUGGGCAUCAGCCACUCCCACCCCAACUCCCCCAUGGAGGGAGCCCUGCAGGUGCCCCAGGCCAUGCCGGCUGCCACCGUGUGCACUUCAGCCUUUCUCUACCCACCUCUACCUGCUCCACCUCUUCCACCAGCCUGCCUGGUGUUGUUUUGCCAGAAGCCUUACAAACAUGUUCCAUCCUGCUGGCGGGGGCUCUGGGUUCAGGAGACGGCCACCCUCCACUGUCCUCGGAUCCUAGACCCCCUCCCCCUCCCCCAGCCCCCCCAAGCCCACCACUUAUAGCAUCCUCACACCACAACACACCUGCCCCAACAGACUCCCCUCCUUCUGUGAUUUACUCACCCCAGGGUACGACCACCCCUACAACACACCCAGCCCUUUGUGACCCCCUACUUCCCCCAGAGCCCCCCUGUCCCCACGACACCCCACUGCUCUUUGAUUUUUCCCCUGGACCCUGGGGGAGGGGUCCCCAGCACUUUUAAUCAUCCUGGGAAAUGGAGAGAGGGCCCCUCACUCACUGCCGAGGAUAAAGCGGCAGAAUGAGCCACUGCUGGGGUUCCAGGCUCCCCUGGGGGAGACUCAGGGCUAGAGCUUACAGGAUCCACCAGGAACCCCUGCUUUCUGGGAAGAUGUCCAUUCAGUGGCCUGUGUCCAGAUCCUGGUUCUGCCACAUACUUGCUGGCGACCUUGUUCACUUAAUAUCUCUGAGUAUUUCCUCGUGGUAAGGAUGGGUUGGAUGUUAGGAUGGUAUAAAGAUUAAGUAGCAAGAAGGCAAGCCCAUCACCUUGCACAGAGGCGGACUCAUGGUAGGUGAGCCGUCUGUGCUGGGUGCCAUUACUGUUCUUAUAGGAAGAGGAUGGCCUGAGGCCUGAAGACUGUCACGGGGAUGUUGUGGAGGGAGGAGGUAGGUUCCCACCCCCACCCCAUUAGGAUGCUGGCCUGGGCCCAGGAGAGGGGCUCGGUCACCAUCAACCAGCCCAGAUCUGGUCCCUGGACCUCCCACUGGCCUCCCUCUGUGCAGGGCCGAUAAGCCUGGUGACGGCACAUUAAAGGUGUAGUGUAGGGCCGGCCUCCCCUAGAGGAGGCUGCUGAUAACCUGCUGGGGUGGGGGGCGCUAUCUGGAGAGGAAAUGGGCUGGACUGGGGGGGGGCGGUAAAUGGGGCCCAGUGUUAGGAGGUCGCUUAGAGCCCCAGGGCGGGACCCCACCCCGGGGUCACGUCAUCCCUUCUCUGCCACCAGGCACAAUUGCAUCGCACAAUCCAUCACUGACGAUGCCUGGCUUUUUUGUCCUCCAAAUGCAUUAAUGCAUUCUCUUUCUGAAAGAUACUGGCAAGCAGGAGACAGUAACCGGUGAGCCCCUCCCUCAGCCGCCUGUUCCCUGAGCCCCGCCCCCACCCCAGCCCUGCUGGGCUCUCAUCUGUGAGGGUCAUUCUGGUCCCUUUGCCGCACAUUUACAAACACAUGAGGGGGUGUGUGAUAAACACGAAAUUGUGUGUGUGUGUGUAAAAUCAUGCCAUGUGUCUUUUUCUGCACCUUCCCCAUCCCAAUCGACUUGACGUGUCUUGACCAUGUUUGUGUAUUGUAUUCAUUUUAAUGACAAGGCUAGUCCACAGAAUGCACGUGCCUGCAUCUACUCACAUCUUCCCAUCUUCCCCAUCGUUGUACCUUCAAGCUGUUUUCCGCGUUUGCUUUAGCCAUGAUAGCAUGUGGCCGUGAAGGGUAUCAUUCGCACAUCUUUGAGAAAGAGGGCGCAUCUUAGCGUGUAAUGGUUUUCUAGAAAUCCAGUUGCUCCACCACUGCGUAUGUGCCUCCCUAACUUUGAGCGGUGCUGCCAAAAAUGCUCCCCCAAAGGCAUUAUGAAAUGACACUCCUGUCAUCACUAGAUGAGGGUAAACAUUUUCCCACAUCAUCCAAUGCUGUUGGCUAUUGGUGGUAUUGCCAUUUUGCAGUCAGGUAUUGUAUUACUAUUUAAUUUGCACUUUUCCACUUACUGCUGUGGUUGGGCUCCCUUCCCUAUGUUACUUGCUCUUUGUAGCUUUCUUUCUGUGCAGUGUCCAUGCCAGUCAUUUGGGUUAUUUAGAACCAGGGAGGACUCCUUAAGUUUUCUUUGCAGUCGUCCUUUGUAAUAUAGGUACUGUGAAUAUUUUUUCCCCAUCUGACACUUUUAACUUGUUCCCAUGUCCUUCCUGAGAUGCUCAUGUCCUCAGGAGGAUGAGAAGUGAUCCAUUCUUUUACUUCUAGAUGUUUAGCCCACAUAUUAUCCUGCAGAAAUCUGGUACAAAUAUUAACAGGUACCCUUUUACUGAGUGCCUGUCAUGUGACAGGUUUUCUGCAGAGGACUAGAGAGGCACUGACCGUCCUGCAGAGUAGGUGCACAUGGCAAGGGAGGACUCAGACUCCAGGGGUUGACUGAAGACCACUAGGCUGAGCAGGACUCAGCCCCCAGAGCCACGACCACUGGCUCUUUCCUUCCCAGUCUCAACCCAUUUCUGGAGUGGCUCAAACCAUCCUUGCCUAGGCCCUGAUUGGCCAUGUUGUUUUGACUUCAAUAUAUUACUAUCUAUGGGAUGUGGGCAAAGAGCAAAACAGUGACUUGUCCCCAUUCAUUCAUGUAUUGGACAAAUAUCCACUUGAGCACUUUCUAUGUCCCCAACUCUGUGCCAGGGGCUGGGGACAUGGUGUGGAAAAGACACUGCCCAGGAGUUCCCGUCGUGGCGCAGUGGUUAACGAAUCUGACUAGGAACCAUGAGGUUGCGGGUUCGAUCCCUGGCCUCACUCAGUGGGUUAAGGAUCUGUCAUUUCCAUGAGCUGUGGUGUAGGUCGCAGAUGUGGCUCAGAUCCCGCGUUGCUGUGGCUCUGGCGUAGGCUGGUGGCUACAGCUCCGAUUCGACCCCUAGCCUGGGAACCUCCAUAUGCCGCCGGAGUGGCC
rnacentral:lncRNA from 1 species